rnacentral:rRNA from 1 species
GUACACGCUGUGACUAGCAUAUCAAUAAGCGGAGGAAAAGAAACUAACAAGGAUUCCCCUAGUAACGGCGAGUGAAGCGGGAAGAGCUCAAAUUUGAAAUCUUAAGGGUUUCCCUUUACGAAUUGUAGUUUAAAGAAGUGUUUUCUGUUGAGGUUUUGGUAAAAGUUCUUUGGAAUAGGACAUCAUAGAGGGUGAGAAUCCCGUACUUGACCUUUACUUUCAACUUUGUGAUACACUUUCAAAGAGUCGGAUUGUUUGGGAAUGCAGUCCAAAAUGGGUGGUAAAUUUCAUCUAAAGCUAAAUAUUGGCGAGAGACCGAUAGCGAACAAGUACCGUGAGGGAAAGAUGAAAAGAACUUUGAAAAGAGAGUUAAACAGUACGUGAAAUUGUCAAAAGGGAAGCGUUUGACACCAGUGUUGUUUUUCUGAAAAUCAAUUAAAGAACUGUUUAUGCUAAGUUGUUUAGACUUUAUCAGCUAUCUGUUUAGUUUUGAGCUUUUCUUUAAUGCACUUUUCAGUUAACAAGUCAACAUCAAUUUCUUUUGCUGUAAAAAAGCUUGAGGAAGGUGGCUUGAGAUUCGUCUUAAGUGUUUAUAGCCUCUUGCCUAUGCAGUCGGAGAGAUUGAGGUCUGCAGCGUAGAUCCUUCGGGGCUAAAUGCAUUUGUGCUAAGUUAUAGCAUUUUAUAGACAACUUGUUGACUAUGAUUUGUCUUGUAGCUUACUCGCUUAUGUUAUUUUACCUACGCUUAGGAUGUUGACAGCAGUAUAGACUGU